UACGUAGGGUGCAAGCGUUGUCCGGAAUUAUUGGGCGUAAAGAGCUCGUAGGCGGUCUGUCGCGUCUGCUGUGAAAACUCAGGGCUUAACCCUGAGCUUGCAGUGGGUACGGGCAGACUAGAGUGCGGUAGGGGAGACUGGAAUUCCUGGUGUAGCGGUGAAAUGCGCAGAUAUCAGGAGGAACACCGGUGGCGAAGGCGGGCCUCUGGGCAGUAACUGACGCUGAGGAGCGAAAGCGUGGGGAGCAAACAGG
rnacentral:rRNA from 1 species